CCCCAUGAUGAGGCUCCACACGGAUAAGGCUCCACACGGUAAAGGCUCCAACACUUGGGUGUGUGUGUGUGUGUGUGUGUGUGUGUUGCCCCGCCAUGGCACAGAUAAGCAAGGCGGGUGCCGUUUCCAAAGUCAAGUCCGACAGAUAGGGCUCAAGGACCCUCAACGGUCAAAAUGCGCCAAACAAAAUAAACACUGGCCCUGGCGUACCUCUUGGCUCCGCCUGCGUCGGGGGACACGAUGGUGCAGUUCUUCCACUCGCUGAUGUUCUCCUUGAUCCACUUCAGCACGGCGGGCUCGGCGUACAGGUUGUCCACAGGAAUAUCAAAGAAGCCCUGGUUUCAGAACACAAGGGCAGAGGGCCACGGGAGUCAGGGAAACUGGAGCACGGUGUCAUGUGGCAGGAAGCGCCGUGGUGCAGCCACGCUGAAUACUGUCGUCGACAAGCAUUCAUGUCAAAUAAAGGUUUCAGGUUGCACGACCAGGCUCUGUGCCGCCUCCCCACAGAUGCCCUUCUAUAACGUAGUAGGACUGCGCGAUCCAAGAGGAGUGCUCACCUGUAUCUGAGAGGCAUGCAAAUCCAUUGUGAUGAUGUGGUCCGCCCCA